rnacentral:rRNA from 1 species
UACGGAGGGGGCUAGCGUUGUUCGGAAUUACUGGGCGUAAAGGGCUCGUGGGCGGCCAACUAAGUCAGACGUGAAAUCCCAAAGCUUAACUUUGGAACUGCGUCGGAUACUGGAUGGCUUGAAUUCGGGAGAGGGAUGCAGAAUUCCAGGUGUAGCGGUGAAAUGCGUAGAUAUCUGGAGGAAUACCGGUGGCGAAGGCGGCAUCCUGGACCGACAUUGACGCUGAGGAGCGAAAGCUAGGGGAGCAAACGGG